rnacentral:rRNA from 1 species
CCUACGGGGAGCUGCAGUCGAGAAUCAUUCACAAUGGGGGAAACCCUGAUGGUGCGACGCCGCGUGGGGGAAUGAAGUUCUUCGGAUUGUAAACCCCUGUCAUGUGGGAGCAAAUUAAAAAGAUAGUACCACAAGAGGAAGAGACGGCUAACUCUGUGCCAGCAGCCGCGGGAAUACAGAGGUCUCAAGCGUUGUUCGGAAUCACUGGGCGUAAAGCGUGCGUAGGCUGUGUCGUAAGUCGUGUGUGAAAGGCGCGGGCUCAACCCGCGGACGGCACAUGAUACUGCGAGACUAGAGUAAUGGAGGGGGAACCGGAAUUCUCGGUGUAGCAGUGAAAUGCGUAGAUAUCGAGAGGAACACUCGUGGCGAAGGCGGGUUCCUGGACAUUAACUGACGCUGAGGCACGAAGGCCAGGGGAGCGAAAGGGAUUAGAUACCCUAGUAGUC